ensembl:lncRNA
CCUCAAGCCACUGGGAGAGUCUGGGGACAGCCAUGCUGGGAGGCAGGGGGGCCUCUGGAUGCACAGCCUGGCUUGGCUGGUGGCUUCCAGGACAAGAGGUACUGGCUGUAAUUUGCUCCAGGAGUAGUCCAGGUUGAAUACUAGAAACAUUUUCUUCUCCAAAAGAGUGGUGAGGCACAGGCUGCCCAGGAAGUGUUCAGGAACCAUGGAGAUGUGGCACUGAUGGAUGUGGUCAGAGGGAUGGUGGGGUAGAUUGGGGUUGGACUUGCGGAUCUUAGAGCCUUUUCCAACCUUAGGGAUUCUGUGAUUCUAUGAUUCUCAGCAGCAGUAAGUGGUCACCACAUCCCCACUACCACCUGCAGGAGCUGAAAAAUCAUGAAGGUUCCCCCCAAAAUGUGAUUUCUUUCCCAUUUCUUUUAGUUACUUAACAACAACCAAGCCAGUCUCCCCCAAGAUUGCUCCAUCCUAUGAAAGCCUAAAGCUGACUGCUCGCAAAGAGCAGCUCUGCCUCCUCAACAAGCAUCUCGCCCUGCACCAGCUGGGGCUGGCAAGUAGUUGUGCUCCAUCAGAUGGGGACAGCAGCUUCCACAGCCGUUUGCUCAGGGCCACAGAUGGUGGUGGCAGGACAAGGCCACGUGAUGACUGGGAUGACAGAGCUGCCUUGCUGAAGCUCCCUGCAGCUGUGGUGUACGUGAGGGACCAGCACCUGGAGGGCAAGCUGCACCUCCUCAAGCACCGUGAGCGGCUGCAACAUCUGGAGCAGCAGCAAAGCCAUCGGGUCAGGGUGGAUGGGGAGCCCAAAGCUGUGCCCAAGGAGCGGCCACUGUCUCCAUGCCUGAGCAUUGCAGUGGGAUGCAAGGAGGAGAGGAUGGAGGAUGCUGCAGAUGGGAAGGUGGAGAGGGUGCUCUUUGUGAGCCGGGAUGGCUCUGAGCACCGAGGAAAGGUGGAAGCAUUGAGGGACUAUGGUAUGGAUGCCCCACUGGACCUGUCAGACACUGGGCGUGGGAGGGGAAUGGGGUGGAUCAAGCACCAGGAGGCCACCAGGAGUCCACGUCCAAGCCCAGGGGACAGCCCCAUGCACAGCCCCUGCAGACGACAUGGGAUGGAGCGGGACAGCUCACAGCCACGCAGCCAUUGGCAUGAUGCUGCCCAGACACAGAUCACAGGGCAGCCUGGUGCCAUCAAGGAGGAGGAGGAGGCUGAGGAGGAAGAGGAGGCAGCUAUGGUGAGUACAGCUCAGGUUGGCAUCAUACCAACCCCUUCUCUCCUGUUGGAAUUCUGGUGCUCAGUGCCAGUGUCAUUACAAUCACAAUUAAUGUCCCAUGCUGAAAUGGCCUGGAAACAGGAAAUUUUAUCACGUGAUUGGCAAUGGUUUUCCACUCAGCUAAGAGGAAAGAUGUGCACCAGCACCUGCACCCCAUUCCCAUUGGUUUGGGUAGAGAUGAUGCUCAUUCCAGCACUUGUCACAGUCACUGAGAUGGGACUGGGGAUGGCCCUUUUCUCCCACAUUCGAAGGCAGUGGUUCUAUUUACAGUACUUAUGGGAUUUCUGCACUCACUGCCCCUUACAGCUCGCUCACUCCCAGGUGCAUCCUAUAAACAAGUCACCACCAAGCAACACAGAGACUCCUCCAGAGCCCAGGGUGAGACUGGUAGCCAGUACACAGAAGGAAGAACCAGGUAAAGAGCCCCGGGCAAGCCUGACAUCUGAGAAGGCAAAUGCCAAAGAUGAUGAUGGUGAUGAUGAUGAGUCCACAAAGCAGGAAUCUGAUGAGGCGGAUACGACAGACAGCGAGGUGGCUUCUCCCUAUGAACAUGAUGUCCUGCAAGAAGCCCAGUCAGAAGGGAAAUAUUUUUGCACCAAAGACAGAGCUCAUGCACUGCAGAAGAAGAGGAGAAGAGGACAGGAUUCCUGGACAAAAGGCUCCAAGAAGGCAAUGAGAGGAAGAAAGAAAGUCAAAGUGGAGCAGUCCUCACUGGGGAUGACAGAGGAAGCAGAGAGCUGCUUGGCUUCCCACCAUGACCCCUCUGAGGAGAGCUAACUGGGUGGUGCAGAGACACAUGGACACUGCAACUGAAGCAGAAGAGCUCAGAUCCAUUCCAUCAACACCAGGAGAGCAACUGCUGUCCACAAGGACCCAUAAGAACUACUUCAGGAGCAGAGCACCCUCAAACCCUCCCUGGGUGCUCCUGGGAAAGGGUCGAGCAUGGACCUUCACCUUGGUGCCAGGAAAAGGGACCGUGCUCUUCCUUGGGAUUUGGUGCUGUGAGGAGGGACCCCAACCUCACUCCCUGUGUGCCAGAACCCAGUGCCCACCUGAGCACUGCAGGUCCCUUUGUCCCUAUGCAUCAAUUCAAUCCUGACCUGGGUUUCAUACAGGUGUGGAUCUUGUUUGAGCUGCAAAGCCCAUGGAUUUCCUUUCGAGCACAUGGGCCAAGCAGGUGGGACACAUUCCCAGAGAGGGAAGGGACAAGAGCGUGAGAAAGGACAGCAUGCCUGGGGUGUCCGGUGUUCCCAGAAGAGCCAGGGACUGGGGCACAGCACAGCCCCAGUCCAGCAGCUCGUGCUGCCCAUAGUGGUACUGCAGAGAGCUUGUUUUCUUAUGGAUAAACUGUUCUCAUGCAAUUUUUCUGAAUCAUGGCCUUCAGCAUCAAGUGAUGGAGUGCUGCUGCCUGGGGCAUGAAGAACAGGAGUGAGCAGAGCUGCAUUGGGCAGGGCUGCUCCUCGCACACAUGCAGCAAAUAAAGCUGGAAAAAAAGUGCCA